UUUUUUUUUUUUUUUUUGGCAGUGAAAUGUUGAUCUUUCUGCUCUCCAAGAUUUGGUUCCCUGCCAGUUCACGUGCACAUAAAUUACUUUCCUACUCUCAAGCAGAUGUCACCUGUGCUGUCUAUACUUUAAUGAUACUUUCUUCUUUGGGGUAGAAACCCCUCCCUUUUAUUUCUUUGCUUAAAGUUUCACUUGGUAGCUUCCACAGCCAGGCCUCCUUUGGGGUUGAGUGCUAGGGAGAGAACGCUAUCUCCUGCUAGCUCUCGUCCCUGGAGGGUUCUGCUUGCUGCGGAUCGGAGGCUUUAGCCCAAGAGCUGAGAUGAAUUUGCCAGGGAGACAUUCCUCACGCUUUUGUUAUCUGUUUGCAUUUCAGGACAACAGUAGUAGCAGCAGCUGCCUUCUUGGACGCCUUUCAGAAAGUGGCUGACAUGGCCACCAACACACGUGGUGAGCAGAUGGGAGGCUGCCUUCCAGCACUGACUGGAUCCAGCACGUGGGCUCUCUCUCUCCCCCGGGCGGCUUCCCGAGAAGAUACGGCUCGAGUUAUCAGAGCCUGGCUGACUCACAGUUUUCAUAUAUUUUUAACUCCGUGGGGUUGCACACAUUAGAAGUUGUAACUAGUUCCCCAGAUAGUGAAGUGUGUGUGAAGACUAGACAAGAAAGGAAGGGAGCCACUGUUCCUUCAUGAGGCGGCUUGCUGUGGGUGUAACUCGAGGGAUACGCUUAGUAUAGAGCCUCGAGCUGCACCUUUGUCUUGCUGUGACUCCUCCAGCAGGUUGCCUUAGGCUCUCCCAUGGUACCUCCUGGAACGGGAAGUCCUGGAGAUGAUGAUGUGGCUACUGUCCUGGGUUCUCCACAAACAAGGAAUCCUUUUAUGAUAGGCCCAGUAUCUCGAGGGCCGUAACUGUCUCUCUGUCCCCAGUCUUAGGCUGCAGACCCUGUGAACAAGAGACAGAGUCCUGAUGAUACCCCACUAGACAGAGUGUCCAGAGCCUAACUGAUAUUUAAAAUAUGCUUAUGAAAGCAGUGACCAGAAGGUGAAAUCUUUUGAAAAGAUUUCAUGGUUUCAGAGAAUCCCAGGAAUAUUCGUGACAUGUGAGAGGUGCCAGAAGAAAGUGGAUAGUGUAGGCCCACCUUCCUCUCAGUCCCAUACAACCACUCUGUCUGCCUGCUCCUUGUCUGGUCAUGCUGGGCUCCCUCGUUACCUGCAUAGCUGUGAACCUGCUCUAACUUUGGGUGUUUAGUGCAAAGCUGAGGCUCCUUCCCAUACCUCCAGUGGUUCAUCACAACCGGCGGUGGGCACUUAAUUAAAUAUUUAUAGAUUGAGACUCCAGCUCCUUUUGUUGCAGGACUGUCACGGGACCACAAGAGCCAAUAUGCCUCCCCCUUGUCCCCAAAAGGCACACCGUUGAGUAGGGAGACUGAGAUGUGUAAAUAAAGAGUGCCUGUGCAGAAAUAGUAUGUGUGGUAAGGUAAUAGCCGAAGCUCACAGCACCAGGGGAAUAUCGGAAAGUGAGCAAUUAACCUGGUGCCAGGGAAUCAGGGACAUUUUCCCAGGGGAAGUACCAUUUCUCCUCCUUUCUGAGACGCCAACCGCAUCCCAAAAACAUUCCCAUGGAAAUACGACCGUGACGUCAAGCAUCAGACUUCCUUAACCUGGUUUGUCUGUGUGGUGAAGGUACUAACUAACCCAUGUAAUUUUGAAAUGCCUUUAAAAUGACUUAGCUUAGAUGUACCUGUUGUAGAACCUUGGGGAACCUGGAUUCUAAAGGAGCUUAACAUGCAAACCGAUGUUUGCUGUUGUGAAAAUGUGACUGACUGUCCAUCCGUGUGGUGUCUCUCCUUCCCCCCUCAGCCGUGUCUGGAACUGUCAGUCAUACAUGCGUUAUCUACUUUGUGCAAGUGCCGUGGUGUGUGUGGAGGCCAGAAGCCAGCUUGCAGGAGUUGGUUCUCUUGUUUCUAACGAGUGGGUCCCAUCUUUGGCAGCAGCCGAAAUUACCUGCUGAGCCUUCUCUUUUUUGAGACAGUCUUAAGUAGCCAAGACUGAGUGCCUUUGAAGGCAUCUGAGGAUGGCCUUGAACUUCCGGUCUUCCUGCUUCUGCCUCCUGGGUGCUGGGAUGACCACUGUGAGCCUCCUGCCCAGCGUGGGAUUACAUUCUCAAGGAUCUAGAAUUCAGAGCAUGUUUUUAGACUUUCCUGUUAAAUUACUGGGUGGGUCCUGAAGGGGCAGCAGGAAGGGUGACCCCGAUUGUCUAUAAUUUCCUGUGGGAAGAACCUGUGGUUUUGAAGAGGCUGCUCCCAGAGUCCCUCUUGGGGGGGCGGGGAGGGGAUUGGAGGGCCUGGAAAUUCUCAUGCUUCCAGGGGAGGGGAAACGGCAACUGUUGGAAGAGAAGCAGGAAGAGGCUCUCAGUGGAGGUAAUGGGUCAGAGCCAGGCUUGGGGGCUGGGGAGGUGGGGAUGUCUGCUGCUGUCGGCCUGUGUGUCACUGUGAACAGACUCCUGUGUGAUGUAUCUUUAAGACAUUUGGUUUCAGGUUGUUUUUGCAGUACAGUUUAGAAUCCAAAGUGUGGUUGCUUUCUUUUAUUGGAUGUGGGAACCUGUAUGCCUUAAAGAAUAUAUGGCUGAUAUGAGCUGUUUCCAUGGUGAUGGUAUGAGAAACUUGGAAGUACUCCUUAUUCCAACAAUUUAAUUUAGU
rnacentral:lncRNA from 1 species